UGCGUGCGUGCGUGCGUCGGUGAUCAGGGCUUCCACUUAUGGGAAGAGGAGGUUGUUGCGUGAUGUGUUGUUCCCAGGACUGCCCAUCACAUGUUUGAGGUAAUGCCAAAGUUAAACUAGGACACUUUGUUUUAAUGUUCUCUUCCAGUCAUGACCGAGAAUCUUGACCAUGUUACACUAUUCAUUGCUUUAUUGAUCACACGACUAUUCUUCAGCACACAAUUCAUCAGCUGAUUGGCCGUAAACAGUUCAGACAUAUAAUUUGAAAGCAGGUACAUAGUAUAACUUCUCUUGUUGCUUUAUUUUGUACCUAUAGGAAAAAUAACUGUAGUUUUUGAUACUUUGGUUUUUUUAGUACUUUGCUAUCAAACAUGGCCUUAGUUUAAGUGUAAAUGAUUGUUCUCAUGAAAGCCAGCAUGACCAUGUAAGUUGUUCUCAUACAUUGAUUUCAUACGAUAUUAUACUUUGUGCUAAUUUAUUUACAUAGACUAAUAUUCAUAAAUUACUCAAUGUUUUGUAGGACUAAUGGUCCAUCAUAAUAUAUAGAAGCAUCAGGAGGCACUCUAAUCUCCAAUAAAGAAUGACAUCAAUACGAACAAGAAUGGUGUCCCUCAAUUGAAGCUUAAUAAAUAUUAUCUUUCAUAGUUGUCUCCUUUUCCAGUUAGAUAAGGGCAAGUACAUUGGUCAUAUAAGGAGUGCUUUUGAAUUGAAAAUUUUGAAGGAUACUUUUGUUCCAUUAUUGUAUGUCGAAAUAUUGUUAUUAAUUUGAUUUUUACUAAUAAAAGAAGUUAUGGUCCUUUCAAUUCAGAUUUUGUUUUCUAUAUGUGGAUGUUAAUAUUCAAAUGUUGGAUGUUGCAUAAAGUGAUCCUUGAAUGGAAAGAAUACCAAAUAUAAGUUGUCCUACGCUAUAUAAAAGUGAAGAGAGUGAUCGUAAUAUUAGAAAGUAGUCGUUAAUGAUAGUUUCGGUCAACAUUAGAACAUUAU
rnacentral:lncRNA from 1 species